rnacentral:tRNA from 1 species
UAUUGUUACUUUGGCAGAAUAGUGCAUUAAAUUUAGAAUUUAAUUAAGUAAUUUUACAAGUAAUA